GCCUUCUUAGCUCAGUGGUAGAGCGCAUCACUAGUAUCAGAAAAAGGCUUCAUGCGGAGAAUAUUAUGAUGAGGCCACCUGUUCGAGUCAGGUAGGAGGCA